rnacentral:lncRNA from 1 species
AGCACUUCUUCAGAAGGAGAACCAUUUGGAGAUUUACUCAUGGUGAAAAUGAGGUCAUGUUAGAUUUUGACAUUUGGGAGACAUUUAAUCUAACCAUGCAGACAGUGUUUCCUGUUAUCAAAGUAGCAUUUCCUGGCCAUCAUUACAAUACAUGUAUCUACAGAUCUACUUGUUUUGGUGUUUGCUGUUAGGUUGUUGUUACAGUGUGGUGUUCUUUGCCUUUAUAAUUACUAUAGAAUAAAUGUAUGUCUUAUACAGGGUGAAGAAUCAGACCUGUGUAGACCAGGCACCACCUCUGGGACCUGGAGAGAUCCCCACUAUCUAGAUGCAGCACCCCAGAGGUUGAACAGUUGGGUGAAACUACUGAGAGGCCUACAGAACCAGGCGAGACAUUAUAAAACUCUACAGGAUAUGUACAAUACCAAGGCCAGACCCAACCAGAAGGAUGUUUCCCAGCUCCUGGACCUUGAAUUCCAAGCAAGACGGGCCUUCAUCGACUCUGAUGCUACUAAGGAGCAGGACAGGCCUACCAAGAUACUUCAAGGGUAUCCCUGCUUCAGAGAACUGGAACAUGUAAGCAAAUGUAUUCAUUUUAAGUAGGCCUAUGCUUCUUUAUCCUGGUUAACACCAGACCAAAUCUCAAAUGAGAUGCGGUGUGGGAACUGAGCAGCGUGAGAAGCCAUAGCAGGGACGGGGGUAAACUACUUCGGGCAAAUGUAAAACAGUGAGCUCGCGAGAAUUCGGUCUGGUUGUCUGUAUGUCUGUCAUGUUAUGGAUGAACUCCGGCGGAUCCUCGAUCGAGGGAACUGCUUUAUAUCUGAACUGAAGACCUGCUGGGGGACCUUUUACAACAAGGCACAGUUUUAUGUAGUGUUCAAAAAGGUAAUGAAGCCACCGCUGCUGGACAAAGGUAAUUACUGGCUCUGUUGACAAUGGAGAAUCCCAUGAACGGAUUCAUUUUUGUUUAAAUAACUGGCUGCAGUAAAUCAAAUGAAACUAUUUUUGUUUUUAACAGUGAAGCACUCAAUCGCUAUGAUGAGGGCUUUACCAGAUAUAUUCCCAUCACCUGUGGCUCCACCGAAGAAGUUAGGACAUGCAAGUGAGGCUAUGCUUCACAUCCUUGAGUCUGCAGAAGACCCCAACACCUUUCUUCAGGAGAGACUACUCUUCAGCCGUGUCGUGAUUAUCUGCGAAACCAACUGCGUACUGGCCAUUGGAACCAUGCCUGUGGUGACCUUCCCAAAAGAGGACAUCUAUGCCAGCGUGACCUAUCUCAUGGCGCGUUAUUACAGUAGUGGGUGUGGAGUCAGCCGCAGGAAACAGGAGUAGUUGCUAACGGGCUUUUAAUGAAUUGCACCAUAAAAGAAAAGUACACCCACGAAAACACAACUGGGUGUGAUCCAACAAACACAAUGAUCCAAUAACACGUACCACUGCAUCAACAACAGUCGACAACAGAAAGUAAGUCCGCACACAGAACAGGUGGGGAAACGGGCUUAAAUAUUCAACUAAACACUAAUCAUAUACAGGUGCAAACAAUCAAGACAAAACCAACAGAAAAGGGAAAAAGGGAUCGGUGGCAGCUAGUAGGCCGGUGACGACGACCGCCACCCGAACAGGGAGAGGAGUCACCCUCGGCAGGAGUCGUGACACAUAUUGCCUUAUUUCAAGACGAUUGCAAUAGCAUUGGAUUCUAAAUUUAAGCACAUUUUCCUACAUAUUGAGAAGAUAAUUCUUAAAUAUUUUCUUUGUAUCCAGACAAAUGUACUUGUUUUUAGUGUAGCUGUACUGGUUUUAAGAAAUAUUUACUAAACAUACAGCCUUAUUUCAAGAUGAUGGCACUAGCAUUUUCUAAAUUUAAGCACAUUUUCCUACAUAUUCAGAAGAUUAUUCUUAAAUAUUUUCUUUGUAUCCAGACAAAUUACUUGUUUUUAGUCGAAACGCACUAGGUUUAAGAUAUCUGUGCGUUCUUUGAGACUAGAUAUUUUUACUUGUUUAAAACAUCUUGGCAAGUAAAAUUUUCCAGUUCUGUUAGCAGAUAAUUUUGCUUAUUGUCACGACUCCUGCCGAGGGUGACUCCUCUCUCUCCCUGUUCGGGUGGCGCUCGGCGGUCGUCGUCACCGGCCUACUAGCUGCCACCGAUGCCUUUUUCCUUUUCUGUUGGUUUUGACUUUAUUGGUAUCACCUGUGUUCCAUUAGUGAUUAGUUGGGUACUUAAGCCCGUUUCCCCACCUGUUCUGUGUGCGGGCUUUUUUCUUUCUUGCACUGUGUAUUGUGUAAGUGGAAUGUGUUUUUGGGUCAUUGUAUUUUCAUUACACCCUGUUGUUAUUUUGGGUGUAUACUCUCUUUGAUGGUGCAUUUAUUAAAGCACGAUAGCAAACGCUCUUGUUUCCUGCGCCUUACUCCACACCCACUACAUCAAGCGUUACACUUAUUUAAGGUAAUAUUUCCUGCAUUUUUUUGUUUUUUUUGUUUUUGAGAGCUGACUUUUUGCAGUGUAUGUUGAUUUGUUUAACCCUUUUGGGUUACUACAUGAUUCCAAAUGUGUUAUUUCACAGUUUUGAUGUGUAGACUAUUAUUCUGCAAUGUAGAAAAUAGUUUAAAAAUAGAAAAGCCCUUGAAUGAGUAGUGUGUCCAAAUGUUUAUCUGGUUCUGUGUGUGUGUAUCUACCUAUCUAUCUGUCUAUUGGGGGAUUGGAAAUGAUGCAGACAAUUACAUUGAUGGAAGCCACAAUCUAUAUGCGAUAUUAAAGCUGAUCUACCCCCUAAAAAACAAAUAAACAUCUCACUUCGGUGCCUUUAUCUCUCUCUCCGUCAGGCCUUCAUCCGCCUUUACCUCGCCCACCACAAGGAGGAGCGCAUCGACGUGCUGCAGCUGGCCCAAGAACCCUUCCUCAUGCCCCCCUUCCGCAAGGCCCUGGCCACCGGUCCUGGGCCGUUGGCAUCGGGCUCCACGCCCUCCACCUCCAGCGCAUACACAGCAGUGCCUCGAACUGAGGCGCCCAACACCAUCCCAGAGGGACCCUGUGGGGGCCACAUUACUCAAACGCCCUCCCUUCUAGAUAGGGGGAUGGGGGAAGGAGGAUGGAGGGGGUAAAAACAGACUAAAGGAUGGAGGAGGAAUAUCUGACGUGCCCUCCCUAUCCUCACCCCUCCUAAGACAUGAAGGGGCAGUGCCAGUCUAUGGCUUGUCUGUAAGACCCAAUGGCUGUACAUGUACACACCCCUGCCACAAUGAAGAGAAAGACCUUGCUUGGCCUGUCCAGUGGGCUGCAUCACAGGGUCAUAGGAAAACAGACUGAAGUCACAGUAUGUUGUGUGUGUGCAUACCUGUUUUCGGGAAAACCAAACAGCUCAAAUCAAAUUGUAUUUGUCACAUAUAUGUGUUUAGCAGAUGUUAUUGCGGGUGUAGCGAAAUGCUUGUAAGCUAGAAGCAUUGCAGCCCUAUCUGUCGGCACCAUUUUCUUACGUAUCCAUUCCAUUUGAUAUUUUGAGAGAAAGGCUUUUUUAUAAAUUAUUGCUUGAGUUGUAUCAUAAGUUGAACUCUAUAUAUUUCCCAAUAAUAGAAUCAAUUGCCCCCCUCCCUCUUUUUGAAGGGCACAAAUGAAGGGGGAGUUUCUAUUUUUGAUGACCAAAGUUGAAGGCAUGCCUGGCUGAUACAACAAUGUUACGUUUUACACACGUCUAACUGUCAAGUGAAAGAAAUAAAUAAUUUUCACUAGGAUCAUCACUUUUAACUGAUUUGAUCAGAUUUAAAUAUUUUCUUGGAUAUUGGACUGGGAGUUUACUUUGUUAUUUGGAUGGUUGUCCAUCUUUUUUUCAUGAGGCUUUCCCCCAAAAUGGAGAGGGAGAGACUUAAUAGAAAUGCAUAUAAACCAUUUAACCGACUUUUGGUAUAACUUUGUGGUUCGUUAGCAAGGAGUUACGUCAAAGAUAAUUCUCAUUCAUUGCAAAUUGUGCAGUGUAACAUUCUAAAUUCCAACAUGACUUAAAUAAUAGCAAAGUUAUUUUAGUAUAUUGUGAAACAUGAUUUCACUCUUGAGCAUAGGUGUGUUGUUUACCAGAGAAAAGCAGAAUAGCCUAACUGGUAAUACUCAAAUAUACACAGCCAUACAGAGCUAGCUACAUGCUACGUACAAGGCUAGCAACACAAUGACUGCCUGAAGAGCCAAUCUAAAAGUGCCUUCAGAAAGUAUUCACACCACUUGACUUUUUCCACAUUUUGUUGUAUGGAUUAAAUUGAGUUUCACUGGCCUACACACAAUCCCCCAUAAUGUGAAAGUGGAAUUAUGUUUAUAGAGAUUUUUACAAAUUAAUGAAUUGAAAGUAUUGUGUAAAUACGUAUUCAAUCCCUUUGUUAUGGCAAGCAUGAUGUUCAGGAGUAAAAAUGUGCUUAACAAGUCACAAAUUGCAUGGACUCAUCUGAUAAGUGUUUAACAGGAUUUUUGAAUUACGACCUCAUCUCUGUACCCGGCCCAUACAGAUAAUUGUAAGGUCCCUCAGAUGAGCAGUGAAUUUCAAACACAGAUUCAACCACAAACACCAGGGAGGUUUUCCCAAGCCUCGCAAAGCAGUGCACCUAUUGGUAGGUGGGUAACAAAACAAACAUACGUUGAAUAUCCCUUUGAGCAUGGUGAAGUUGAUAAUUACACUUUGGAUGGUGUAUCAAUAUACCCAGUCAGUACCAAGACAUUGGUGUCCUUCCUAACUCAGUUGCCGGAGAGGAAGGAAAACGCUCAAGGAUUUCACCAUGAGGUCAAUGGUCACUACUAUUGAUAAUUUUGAAACUUUUACUUUUACUUCACUACAUUCCUAAAGAAAAUAAUGUACUUUUUACGCCAUACAUUUUCCCUGACAGCCAAAAGUACUACUUACAUUUUGUCAGGAAAAUGGUCCAAUUCACGCACUUAUCAAGAGAACAUCCCUGGUCAUCCCUACAGCCUCUGAUCUAGCGGACUCACUAAACACAAAUGCUUUGUUUGUAAAUUAAUGUCAGAGUGUUGUAGUGUGCUCCUGGCUAUCCGUAAAUAAAACAAUAAAAUAUAAAUUGUGCUGGCUGGUUUGCAUAAUAUAAGAAAUUUGAAAUUAUUAAUACUUUUACUUUUGAAACUUAAGUAUAUUUUAAACCAAAUACUUUUAGACUUUUGCUCAUGUAGUAUUUUACUGGGUGACUUUCAGUUUUACUUGAGUCAUUUUCUAUUAAGGUAUCUUUACUUUUACUCAAGUAUGACGUUUCAGUACUUUUCCCACACUGCUCUCCAGCAACUAAGUUAGGAAUGACGCCUGUAUUUUGUAGUGACGGUGUAUUGAUACACCAUCUAAAGUGUCAUUAAUAACUUCACCAUGCUCAAAGGAAUAUUCAAUGUCUGCUUUUCCUAUUUUUACCCAUCUAACAAUAGGUGCCCUUCUUUGCGAGGCAUUGGAACCCUCCCUGGUCUUUGUGCUUGAAUUUGUGCUUGAAAUUCACUGCUCGACUGAGGGACCUUACAGAUUCAUUAAUUAUCUGAAUUAAUGAAUAAAAUGAA